rnacentral:lncRNA from 1 species
UUCUAGAGUCAGUAUAUAAAUGGAAUGACAAGUUGCCUACUCUUUUCUUGGGUGGGUUGGGAGUAAUCUGGCUUCUUUUACUCAGUUUUUGCUUUUUAGGGCUGCACAUGCACCAUAUGGAAGUUCCCAGGCUAGGGGUCGAAUCAGAGCAGCAGCUGCCAACCUACACCACAGCAACACAGAAUCCGAGCUGUGUCUGCAACCUACACCAGAGCUCACGGCGAUGCCAGAUCCUUAACCCACUGAGUGAGGCCAGGGAUCGAACCUGUAUCCUCACGGAUACCAGUCAGGUUCCUUAACCGCUGAGCCACAACCAGGACUCCAUCGUAAUUAUUUUGAGAUCGACUCAUGUUGUUGCAUGUAUUGAUAGAUCACAGCAUUUUUUUUGCUGAGUAGUGUCCCAUUUUACGGAUCUACCACCAUUUGCUUAUCCAGUCAUCAACCAAUGGACACUUAGGUUGUUUCCAGUGUGGGGCUAUUACACCGAAAGCUGCUGUGAACACUAGCAUAGGUACAAGUCCUCAUAGGGACGUAUCUUUUCUUUGGGGUAAAUGUCCAGGAGUAGAACGGCUGGAUCCUUCUGCAGGUGUUAAGUUCAGUAUUUUAAGAAACUGCCCUUUCGCUUUGCAGCGUGGUUGCAUCAUUUGACAUCCCCGAGCACUGGGUGAGAAUUCCAGCCCUGCCACACCCUCAUCACUCUUUGCUACGGUCAGUCUUUCUGGUUUUUGCAGCCCCGGUAGAUGUGCAUUGGAUUCUCACUGCAGUUCCGGGGGGAGGGGGUUGUUUGUUUAUUUUUAUGGCUGCACCACAGCAUAUGGAGGUUCCCAGGCUAAGGGUCUAAUCCAAGCUACAGCCGCUGCCUCCACCACAGCCACAGCAACAUCAGAUCCGAGCCAUCUGUGCAACAGACACCACAGCAGACAAACCGGCUAAGAAACUGCUUAUUCUGGGGACUGUGUUGAAUAAGGAAGCCUCAUGAUUUUAUUUCUGCCUUGAAAGUUCACUGUUCCUGCUGUGGGUCCAAAGGAUCGCAGAGGUGAAGAGUGGGCACCAAUGAGAAGGGCACCCUGGAGAGACGAUGGCAACGUGGCCCAGGCAGGUGGCAGUGGAGGAAGGACUCACUGAACGGACAGAUGUGUCGGCAGUUGGAAAUCACAGCGCUUGUGGAUGGACUGUGUGCGCCGUGAGCCUGAACACUUUUGGACUACAUUUUCUGCAGCUGAAACACACCUCCCUAACUAGGAUUUUUAUCUGUUUUUCAAGUGUAUUAAAACAAAAAUGUAAGUCUUUUGA